rnacentral:sRNA from 1 species
UGAUUCACAAAUUAAGUAAGAUGCAUGUUAGUAAAAGUUCUACAGCUCGUUUUUCCUUAACUGAUAUCAAGCAACAUUUGACCUUUUGGUCAGCAAACAAUCAAUUUUAAAAUAAGGGACAUAUUAUGUCUAACGUAACUGGUACAGUUAAGUGGUUCAACGAAGCUAAAGGUUUCGGUUUCAUUACUCAAGAUAACGGUGGCGCUGAUGUAUUCGUACAUUUCCGUGCUAUCGCAUCUGAAGGCUUCAAAACUCUGCAAGAAGGUCAAAAAGUUACCUUCACUGUAGAAGAAGGCCAGAAAGGUCUUCAAGCUGCGAAUGUUGUUCCAGCUUAAUUAGUAACAAAUUGAUAUGAGCGCGCAGGGCUUAAUGCUUUGCGCGCUUUU